rnacentral:misc_RNA from 1 species
CCCAUCACUGCCCACCUACCGACGUACACGCGCAGCUAUGCACGGCAGCCUUCCCGUGCGGGGCUUGCAGAGACGAAUAAAGGUGCCCUUGAUGGCGUCGGCCCCGUCCUCCAUUACGUUUGCCACCGCGGCGUCUACCGCGGCUACGCGGAUCGCGCGAUGGGUGCCGAUGGCAUUGCCGCGCCGGUGCUCGCCUCCUCUUCGUCUUUGUGGCGACUACCCUCGCUGCGCUGUGGCAGCCGCGUUGUCGUGUCAACGCCUGUGGAUCAGAUCCACCUCGCCCCUAGCGUGCAGCACCGCGGCGGGGCAGACACGCAGCACCUCGAAGAUGAAGAAGAGGCCCCGUCUCGGCAUUCACCGUCCUUCACACGCGGCAGGCCGCCUCGGCAGCGACACCGAAGAAGCGGAAGAUGCUGCGCUGUACCAGCAUCACCCGGAUGAGCACGCGGGCAUCUUCCAGAGUCAACACAUCAAGCCCUUUCCCGUCCGCGCAGCCAUCGACAUCGGCACCGGCGGUGUUGUGUCGCUCUGUGUUGCCCGCGUGGAUGCCACGGUCGGCGCCAUACAAAAACUCAUGUACCAGACGCAGCUGCCCCUGCAUCUUGAGGCACUGCCGACUUCGAUGUCGAACCCCUCAUCACCCCUGUCGUCGUCGUCGUCGUCCUUCACGCUAAGCGAGCGCACGAUGGAGGACAUCACAAACAAGCUGCACAUCUUGCAGGGCGCAAUGCGGCGCAACGCCUUUGAGGGCCUCAGCGAGCGCGCCGCCGUGCUGUCGUGGCCGCUCUGCCUCGCGCGCAACGCCGGACAGCUCGCCGAACGGCUGACAAAGGAAUUCAAGGUCGAUGUUCGCGUUCUAGGGGCGGAUUUCGACGUUGAAUGGCCGCCGUCUGUGACAAGGUUCCUAGUCGGCGAGGGCGCGAGCAUGCCUGAGACGGCAGAUGAUAGCCGCAGCACCGUUGACAGGGGCACCCGGGACAGUGUUGGCCGCAAGGGCGCCGAGAACACGCUCAAGUCGCUGCUGCGUGCAGCACGCGCACCCACGACGUCGGGGCUUGCAAAGCAGAGAAGAAAAGCGAAAGCGCCGUCAUCGUCCGGGUCAGCGGCAAACCGCGGUGCGAUGGACCCGCGCACACAGCUCGACGCACUCGCCUUCCUCGCGCACGCCGCCGUGAGCCAGUGCGUCGCCCCGCAGCGACUUCUGGUCCUCCACGAAGAUCCGCAGCGCGGUCUGCGCUUGCUGGGACUGGGGACAUCGGCCGCCGAUGACAUCGCUGAUCUCCUAGACGAUGCGACGACACCGGAGGAGCGGCAGAGGCUGUACGCUAUUGCGCAUGGGCCGGGGCCGUCCUUGCUCGAGGCCGGUGAGAGGACGCCGUCCAGCGGAAAGCGAGUCUUCGUAGCGGCUCACGCACAGCCACGGCAACAGGCGUCCGUGUCGCCAACAUUUUCAUCAAUGAGAGACUUUCAGGGCCCCGCUGAUGGCGGCACCAGCAGCGAUGCGGCGCCAGCAGCAGCGUCACUUAUGCGCCUCGUCGAGCACCCCCUCCCCGUAGACGUCGCGAGUGCGCACCGCUACUGCAUUACGCAGAUCCAACGCCGUCCGCUGGAGUCUUACUGUCUGCACGCGAGCAGCCCGAACCCGCUUCUCGCCGACGAGUUCGCAGCACUGCGCGGUCUUCUUGGGGGCAUGAUACAACCUACCCUGCCAGCAUGGGUGCGGCGCAAGGCACAGCUAGGAGGCGUGUUGUGCGGGACGAGCCACAACGGCGGCCUGCUGAACCUUGCGGCUCGCGUGUCGCAGCAGACGCACGUCUCCUUGGAGCACCUGGAAGUGCAUGCGCAGUACCACUUCUGUGGCCUCACCGACGUCCUGCUUGCGGAGUCUUUCCCUAACCCGCUCCUCGUGCUGCCGAGUGCGGCGCUGACGGCUGCCGUGCUGCGAUCGCUGGAGUCGCCGCGCAUCACGUACCUUCCCGAGGUAAGCGUGGCGGCCGCACUGCUGGUCCAGCCCUCCUUAUGGCUGCACGCACGCGCAGUCGAGGUGCGGGCGAGGCUUGCGCGAGACCCGUUCUACGGAUCCACGACGUCAGCCCAGCGCGGCCGUGCCUUUGACCGACCGCACCGCAAGGACAACCCCACCGCCGCCCCAGACGCGACGUGGGUCAAGGAGGGUCGCUGGAACCCCAUUUCUUCUAACGAGAGCAUGCGUGGGACGUGAGGAGCGCCGCCGCCGCAAGCAGAGCGCCCGCCCCUUCGUCAACACCGCCCUUAUGAUUGCACUGUGGGCUUUCGGGUCUGCGCCUCUGAACGUGCACGUGUGGUGCUGCGAGGUCCAGCACGCCGUGCCGGUCGUGCGCGAAGGCGUCGCCGCCAUCAACCGCUGCCCGGCCGCUUCUUUCGCCGACCUUAAUGCGCCUGCCUGCGAUUCCAUGUUUUUCGCUCAGUUGGUCGUACGCGCGCCACUCGCGUCAUCUUCACAUGGGCGUAGCCGCAUGCAUGCGCGCACGAGCAUCGGCGUGCCGGUGUGUACGCCCUUCGGCACCGUAAAGCCGCUCUCACAAAGCCCCCUCCCCUCUUCGUCUUUCUGCGUCUCCCUCGGCUGUGGCGGUCGGGUGCCCGGGCAGCGCGGCGUCGCCGUGCCUCACACGUCCGUCGGUCGCUUGAGCAGGUGUGUUUGGUUCGACCGCCUCGGGGUCUUCGUUUGAGGUCCUUGUUGGAUGGUGCGCGGCGCGUGCAUCUGGCUUCGUGCUGCGCGAGCAAGCCACACCACCGCCACUGCCUCCGUCGGCCUUCUCUGACGGCGCUCAGCACGAGGGGAGGGGGGGCGCCGCACGAGCAAGCAUGCAAGCGCCGAGUCGCCAGCUAGCACACGCUCCACUUCCCCGCCUCUCUCGCCCCCUCCCACUCUCUCUCGUCGACGCUGCUUCAUCUUGUGCGUCGCUGUACGCGUCUCCUCUGACCGCCAUCCGCGGAUGAUCCACCUGCAACGCACACGCACGCAUACACAG